rfam:Lachancea thermotolerans CBS 6340 chromosome G complete sequence.
CAUUAUGAUGACAAGUUGUCGCCCCAAACGGAUUUCGAAAUUAUGAACGAUUCGACACAUUAGCCAAACACAAUUAUAUCUGAUC